rnacentral:rRNA from 1 species
GAUGAACGCUGGCGGCGUGCCUAAUACAUGCAAGUCGAGCGAACGGACGAGAAGCUUGCUUCUCUGAUGUUAGCGGCGGACGGGUGAGUAACACGUGGAUAACCUACCUAUAAGACUGGGAUAACUUCGGGAAACCGGAGCUAAUACCGGAUGAUAUUUUGAACCGCAUGGUUCAAAAGUGAAAGACGGUCUUGCUGUCACUAAUAGAUGGAUCCGCGCUGCAUUAGCUAGUUGGUAAGGUAACGGCUUACCAAGGCAACGAUGCAUAGCCGACCUGAGAGGGUGAUCGGCCACACUGGAACUGAGACACGGUCCAGACUCCUACGGGAGGCAGCAGUAUGGAAUCUUCCGCAAUGGGCGAAAGCCUGACGGAGCAACGCCGCGUGAGUGAUGAAGGUCUUCGGAUCGUAAAACUCUGUUAUUAGGGAAGAACAUAUGUGUAAGUAACUGUGCACAUCUUGACGGUACCUAAUCAGAAAGCCACGGCUAACUACGUG